rnacentral:rRNA from 1 species
AUACGUAGGGUGCAAGCGUUAACCGGAAUUACUGGGCGUAAAGCGUGCGCAGGCGGUUUUGUAAGACAGUGGUGAAAUCCCCGGGCUCACCCUGGGAACUGCCAUUGUGACUGCAAGGCUGGAGGGCGGCAGAGGGGGGUGGAAUUCCGCGUGUAGCAGUGAAAUGCGAAGAUAUGGGGAGGAACACCGAUGGCGAAGGCAAUCCCCUGGGCCUGCACUGACGCUCAUGCACGAAAGCGUGGGGAGCAAACAGGAUUAGAUACCCUGGUAGUCCACGCCCUAAACGAUGUCAACUGGUUGUUGGGGAUUUAUUUUCUCAGUAACGAAGCUAACGCGUGAAGUUGACCGCCUGGGGAGUACGGCCGCAAGGUUAAAACUCAAAGGAAUUGGCGGGG